rnacentral:rRNA from 1 species
UACGUAGGGCGCAAGCGUUGUCCGGAAUCAUUGGGCGUAGAAGAGCUCGUAGGUGGUCUGUUACGUCUGCUGUGAAAUCCUAGGGCUUAACCCUGGGCCUGCAGUGGGUACGGGCAGACUAGAGUGUGGUAGGGGAGACUGGAAUUCCUGGUGUAGCGGUGAAAUGCGCAGAUAUCAGGAGGAACACCGAGUGGCGAAGGCAGGUCUCUGGGCCACUACUGACGCUGAGAAGCGAAAGCAUGGGGAGCGAACAGG